UACGUAGGGGGCAAGCGUUAUCCGGAUUUACUGGGUGUAAAGGGAGCGUAGACGGCGAUGCAAGUCUGAAGUGAAAGGCGGGGGCCCAACCCCCGGACUGCUUUGGAAACUGUAUGGCUGGAGUGCAGGAGAGGUAAGUGGAAUUCCUAGUGUAGCGGUGAAAUGCGUAGAUAUUAGGAGGAACACCAGUGGCGAAGGCGGCCUACUGGACUGUAACUGACGUUGAGGCUCGAAAGCGUGGGGAGCAAACAGG
rnacentral:rRNA from 1 species